AAUUCACUACGUGCACAUUAGCAUAUGCUACUUCCGGUAGCGUACUUCCUAUUGGCUGUCGAGCUUCCGGUAUCAACACGACUCGGCUGGAAUCCGGUAGCCCAAUGGCCGAAGCAAAUUUCUCAAGAUGUCUUGGACAUAUGCCGGCGAUAACAGUUGACGAUGUUCAUCGACUGGUCAGCAUAUUUUCACCCGCACCCCAAAGCAAACGAGAAAAGGGGUUUAUACUGUAUCUAUCGCAAUAUUUGCACAAUUUUGAAGUGUCUGACAAAGAUCCGGGUUCAGGAGAGGUCAGGGCAGAGUGCUACAGGUCAAUGAGGAAAAGAUCUUAUGUUACUAAUGAUUAAGUUAAUUGUACAUGUUCAUUUGAAUGCUUUGUUUAUUGAAGGGCAAUCUCCUUUCUCUUUAUUUAAUUCCCCCCUAUCCCUUGAUUUAUCAAUAAAUGAUAACGUAUUCAAACAUUUUA